rnacentral:piRNA from 1 species
UGGGUAUGUUGCUUUAAUUGCCCCCAUGGC